AUUGAACGCUGGCGGAAUGCUUUACACAUGCAAGUCGAACGGCAGCACGGGGCAACCUGGUGGCGAGUGGCGAACGGGUGAGUAAUACAUCGGAACGUGCCCAAUCGUGGGGGAUAACGUAGCGAAAGUUACGCUAAUACCGCAUACGAUCUACGGAUGAAAGCGGGGGAUCGCAAGACCUCGCGCGAACGGAGCGGCCGAUGUCAGAUUAGGUAGUUGGUGGGGUAAAGGUUCACCAAGCCGACGAUCUGUAGCUGGUCUGAGAGGACGACCAGCCACACUGGGACUGAGACACGGCCCAGACUCCUACGGGAGGCAGCAGUGGGGAAUUUUGGACAAUGGGCGCAAGCCUGAUCCAGCCAUUCCGCGUGCAGGAUGAAGGCCUUCGGGUUGUAAACUGCUUUUGUACGGAGCGAAGAGGCUCUCUCUAAUACAGGGGGCUCAUGACGGUACCGUAAGAAUAAGCACCGGCUAACUACGUGCCAGCCGCCGCUGUAACAC
rnacentral:rRNA from 1 species